rnacentral:rRNA from 1 species
UACGAAGGGGGCUAGCGUUGCUCGGAAUCACUGGGCGUAAAGCGCACGUAGGCGGGUCCUUAAGUCAGGGGUGAAAUCCCGGAGCUCAACUCCGGAACUGCCUUUGAUACUGGGGAUCUUGAGUCCGGAAGAGGUGAGUGGAACUCCGAGUGUAGAGGUGAAAUUCGUAGAUAUUCGGAAGAACACCAGUGGCGAAGGCGAGUUCCUGGACAGUUACUGACGCUGAGGCACGAAGGCCAGGGGAGCAAACGGG